rnacentral:ncRNA from 1 species
AUCUUCGGGGGUGAGUGAAAUUCUCCACCGACGGUGUUGGGGAUAUUCCCCUGAGUCCGUGAGCCGUAUGGCAUGAUCCGGUGUGAUUCCGGAACCGACAGUAUAGUCUGGAUGAGAGAAG